UACGAAGGGGGGCUAGCGUUGUUCGGAAUUACUGGGCGUAAAGCGUGCGCAGACGGUUGCGUAAGUCAGAUGUGAAAGCCCCGGGCUCAACCUGGGAAUUGCAUUUGAGACUGCGUAGCUAGGGUGCGGAAGAGGGAAGCGGAAUUUCCGGUGUAGCGGUGAAAUGCGUAGAUAUCGGAAGGAACACCAGUGGCGAAAGCGGACUUCCUGGU
rnacentral:rRNA from 1 species